rnacentral:ncRNA from 1 species
GUGUGUAUAACACAUGCAAAUCGGACGGGAAGUGAUGUUUCCAGUGGCGGACGGGUGAGUAACGCAUAAGAACCUGCCCUUGGGAGGGGAACAAUAGCUGGAAACGGCUGCUAAUACCCCGUAGGCUGAGGAGCAGAAGGAAGAAUCCGCCCGAGGAGGGGCUCGCAUCUGAUUAGCUAAUUGGUGAGGCAAUAGCUUACYAAGGCGAUGAUCAGUAGCUGGUCCGAGAGGAUGAUCAGCCACACUGGGACUGAGACACGGCCCAGACUCCUACGGGAGGCAGCAGUGGGGAAUUUUCCGCAAUGGGCGAAAGCCUGACAGAGCAAUGC